GACGUCAUAAACACCAUCAACUUUGGUGUUUAUGACGUCGAUAUUCGACGUCAUAAACACGAUCAACUUUGGUGUUUAUGACAUCGAUAUUCGACGUCAUAAACACGAACAAGUUUGGUGUUUAUGACGUCGUUAUACGACGUCAUAAACACGAACAAGUUUGGUGUUUAUGACGUCGAUAUUGGACGUCAUAAACACGAUCAACUUUGGUGUUGAUGACAUCGAUAUUCGACGUCAUAACCACGAACAAGUUUGGUGUUUAUGAAGUC
rnacentral:miRNA from 1 species